UACGUAGGGUGCAAGCGUUAUCCGGAAUUAUUGGGCGUAAAGAGCUCGUAGGCGGUUUGUCGCGUCUGCUGUGAAAACUGGAGGCUCAACCUCCAGCCUGCAGUGGGUACGGGCAGACUAGAGUGCGGUAGGGGAGAUUGGAAUUCCUGGUGUAGCGGUGGAAUGCGCAGAUAUCUGGAGGAACACCGGUGGCGAAGGCGGCAUCCUGGACCGAGAUCGACGCUGAGGCGCGAAAGCUAGGGGAGCAAACGGG
rnacentral:rRNA from 1 species